AGAAUCACGUGACGUUUUAAAACCGAACAGAAGGGCAAUCAGCAAAAUGUGUGUGCUGGAAAGAAUAGACUACUUGAGAACUCGACGAUUUUAACAUGUCCGAACAAAGUGGAAAGGAAUUCACUCGAGAUGACAAAGACGUCAAAUUAGUAUUUACCCCAUGCGAUAUCGAUCCACUUGACGAUGACCCGAGCAUUUUGAGGGCUGUGUUAUCAUGUGGCCAUGUCGCACAUCCAGACUCACUAACGGCUUAUUGCAAAGCUCAGUUGUCAACUAAACAAACAGAAUUGAAAUGUCCUAUAUGUACAAAAGUGUGGUCAUAUAAUGAAGUCCGAAAACUUGCCAAACUCACAGAUGAAGAACAACAAUGGUUUGAGCAAACGCUUGGGAAACAUGCUUUACAGUCACUCGGUAUACAAAACUGCCCUCGCUGUGACACUUUCAUUGAAAGAAAAAACUCUUCUAAUCUCUGUGUAAAAUGCGCAAUAUGCUCAACGAAGCUAGGAAAAACCUUUCAAUUCUGCUGGCAGUGUCAAAGAGAGUGGAAGGGAUCUCAAGCUCGUGCUGAUCAAUGUGAAAAUGAAUUAUGCACCGACAACGAACUUAAUGUGCUGCAAAACUGUAAAAUAAUAGUUUUAAAAGCAGUAGAAAAUGCCGAGUGUCCUUUGAUUCGUGCCUGCCCAUUUUGUCGCACGCUACUGGAACACAAUGGGAAGUACUGCAAAACUAUGACGUGCGUCAAAUGUCAUACAAAAUUUUGCUUUCUAUGUCUAAAACUCGUAGAGGAAUGCUGUACGGGUCCUUACGAAAAGUGCACAUUAGCACCAAGACAAACGUCCAUCCUUUAACGAUGAGGCCAUCAUGGUCUACAAUUUAUAAAGACAUAAAUCGGAGGCUGCCAGAUACAGUACCCCAUCUAAAAAAGCCAAUCAAGUCAUAAUUUUGCAAUAUUUUCUAAAUUAGCAAUAUCAUCUGACAUAUCAUAUCUCAAAUGACAUCCAUUGUAUUCACAACUAGGCUGGUACUUUUUAUUUCUGCAUUCAUACAAACUAAACAAAAUAUAUUUGUUACCUUUAUAAAAACAUCACUUUUUUAUUCUGUUUAUGAUCACCAAUGGGAGGUUGCUGAAAUUUUAAAAGUGCACAAAGGGUUGUAGGUCGCAGGAAUCAGAAUUUUUUCUGAGCACAGCCAAACGCUAUUGUAAAAAUGACACAAAUUUUUUAUUUAGGCUGUUGAUGAAAUAAAGAUAUUUUACAGCCUGUUUUAGAUAGACCUAUACAAAAUUUAAAUUAACAUAU